rnacentral:rRNA from 1 species
CCUACGGGUGGCAGCAGUGAGGAAUAUUGGUCAAUGGGCGUAAGCCUGAACCAGCCAAGUCGCGUGAGGGAUGAAGGUUCUAUGGAUCGUAAACCUCUUUUAUAAGGGAAUAAAGUGUGGGACGUGUCCUAUUUUGUAUGUACCUUAUGAAUAAGGAUCGGCUAACUCCGUGCCAGCAGCCGCGGUAAUACGGAGGAUCCGAGCGUUAUCCGGAUUUAUUGGGUUUAAAGGGUGCGUAGGCGGCCGUUUAAGUCAGCGGUGAAAGUUUGUGGCUCAACCAUAGAAUUGCCGUCGAAACGGGGGGGCUUGAGUAUGGUUGAGGCAGGCGGAAUGCGUGGUGUAGCGGUGAAAUGCUUAGAUAUCACGCAGAACCCCGAUUGCGAAGGCAGCCUGCCAAGCCAUGACUGACGCUGAUGCACGAAAGCGUGGGGAUCAAACAGGAUUAGAUACCCCAGUAGUC